CCUUAGAUGUUCUGGGCCGCACGCGCGCUACACUGAUAAAGUCAACGAGUUUAGUUCCUUGGCCGGAAGGUCUGGGUAAUCUUUUGAAACUUUAUCGUGCUGGGGAUAGUCCAUUGCAAUUAUUGGACUUCAACGAGGAAUUCCUAGUAAGCGCAAGUCACCAGCUUGCGUUGAUUACGUCCCUGCCCUUUGUACACACCGCCCGUCGCUACUACCGAUUGAAUGGCUUAGUGAGAUCCUCGGACUGGCGAUGGGCAGCCGGCAACGGCCGCUCUCUGCUGGGAAGUUUAUCAAACUUGGUCAUUUAGAGGAAGUAAAAGUCGUAACAAGGUU
rnacentral:rRNA from 1 species